rnacentral:rRNA from 1 species
UACGGAGGGGGCUAGCGUUGUUCGGAAUUACUGGGCGUAAAGCGCACGUAGGCGGAUUGUUUAGUCAGGGGUGAAAUCCCGAGGCUCAACCUCGGAACUGCCUUUGAUACUGGCAAUCUCGAGUCCGGAAGAGGUGAGUGGAAUUCCUAGUGUAGAGGUGAAAUUCGUAGAUAUUAGGAAGAACACCAGUGGCGAAGGCGGCUCACUGGUCCGGUACUGACGCUGAGGUGCGAAAGCGUGGGGAGCAAACAGG